CCUACGGGAGGCAGCAGUGGGGAAUAUUGCACAAUGGGCGAAAGCCUGAUGCAGCAACGCCGCGUGAAGGAAGACGGUUUUCGGAUUGUAAACUUCUGUUCUUAGUGAAGAAUAAUGACGGUAACUAAGGAUCAAGCCACGGCUAACUACGUUCAAGCAGCCGCGGUAAUCCGUAGGUGGCAAGCGUUGUCCGGAAUUACUGGGUGGAAAGGGAGCGUAGGCGGGAAGCCAAGUCAGCUGGUAAAACUACGGGCUUAACCUGUAGACUGCAGUUGAUACUGGCUUUCUAGAGUGAAGUAGAGGUUGGCGGAAUUCCGGGUGAAGCGGUGAAAUGCGUAGAUAUUCGGAGGAACACCGGUGGCGAAGGCGGCCAACUGGGUUUAAACUGACGCUGAGGCUCGAAAGUGUGGGGAGCAAACAGGAUUAGAUACCCGGGUAGUC
rnacentral:rRNA from 1 species